CCCCUACGGGGGGCAGCAGUAGGGAAUCUUCCACAAUGGACGAAAGUCUGAUGGAGCAACGACGCGUGAGUGAAGAAGGGUUUCGGCUCGUAAAGCUCUGUUGGUAGUGAAGAAAGAUAGAGGUAGUAACUGGCCUUUAUUUGACGGUAAUUACUUAGAAAGUCACGGCUAACUACGUGCCAGCAGCCGCGGUAAUACGUAGGUGGCAAGCGUUGUCCGGAUUUAUUGGGCGUAAAGCGAGUGCAGGCGGUUCAAUAAGUCUGAUGUUAAAACCUUCGGCUCCACCCGAGAAU
rnacentral:rRNA from 1 species